UACGUAGGGUGCAAGCGUUAUCCGGAAUCAUUGGGCGUAAAGCGCGCGUAGGUGGCCUCAUAAGUCCGCUGUGAAAGUCAAAGGCUCAACCUUUGAAAGCCGGUGGAUACUGUGAGGCUAGAGUACGGAAGAGGCGAGUGGAAUUCCUGGUGUAGCGGUGGAAUGCGCAGAUAUCAGGAGGAACACCAAUAGCGAAGGCAGCUCGCUGGGACGUUACUGACACUGAGGCGCGAAAGCGUGGGGAGCGAACAGG
rnacentral:rRNA from 1 species